rnacentral:rRNA from 1 species
AUUGAACGCUGGCGGCAGGCCUAACACAUGCAAGUCGAGCGGAUGAAGGGAGCUUGCUCCUGGAUUCAGCGGCGGACGGGUGAGUAAUGCCUAGGAAUCUGCCUUGUAGUGGGGGAUAACGUCCGGAAACGGGCGCUAAUACCGCAUACGUCCUGAGGGAGAAAGUGGGGGAUCUUCGGACCUCACGCUAUCAGAUGAGCCUAGGUCGGAUUAGCUAGUUGGUGGGGUAAAGGCCUACCAAGGCGACGAUCCGUAACUGGUCUGAGAGGAUGAUCAGUCACACGGGAACUGGGCCACGGUCCAGCCUCCUACGGGAGGCAGCAGUGGGGAAUAUUGGACAAUGGGCGAAAGCCUGAUCCAGCCCUGCCGCGUGUGUGAAGAAGGUCUUCGGAUUGUAAAGCACUUUAAGUUGGGAGGAAGGGCAGUAAGUUAAUACCUUGCUGUUUUGACGUUACCAACAGAAUAAGCACCGGCUAACUUCGUG